AUUGAACGCUGGCGGCAGGCUUAACACAUGCAAGUCGAGCGGAGUGAUGGUGCUUGCACUAUCACUUAGCGGCGGACGGGCGAGUAAUGCUUAGGUAUCUGCCUAUUAGUGGGGGACAACAUCUCGAAAGGGAUGCUAAUACCGCAUACGUCCUACGGGAGAAAGCAGGGGAUCACUUGUGACCUUGCGCUAAUAGAUGAGCCUAAGUCGGAUUAGCUAGUUGGUGGGGUAAAGGCCUACCAAGGCGACGAUCUGUAGCGGGUCUGAGAGGAUGAUCCGCGACACUGGGACUGGAACACGGCCCAGACUCCUACGGGAGGCAGCAGUGGGGAAUAUUGGACAAUGGGGGGAACCCUGAUCCAGCCAUGCCGCGUGUGUGAAGAAGGCCUUAUGGUUGUAAAGCACUUUAAGCGAGGAGGAGGCUCUUUUGGUUAAUACCCAAGAUGAGUGGACGUUACUCGCAGAAUAAGCACCGGCUAACUCUGUGCCAGCAGCCGCAGUAA
rnacentral:rRNA from 1 species